CUACAAUCAGUUAAUGCAUUUUAUCAUUUCCUAACGUCAUCUAUAAUUUUCCACAUUCACUUCCAUUCAUUUCUAACAACCUAGUGAUCAAUCAAUACAAUGAUCUCACUCAUUGCCACACACGUCAAACCCUAGACUUAACCGACUCAUCUUACCAUUCCGACUCGAUCCUAUGACACCUUUAACUCCCCGUCACCCGACCAUGAGCUAGAGACCCUACAAUGCACAUCCUUUUCAUCUUUUCAUCCUUUUCAUCUUUUCAUCCUUUUCAUCAGUGGGUAGCCCCAACUAGGCUUCU
rnacentral:lncRNA from 1 species